GUUAUUUCUGCUCAAUGACAUUAAAUAGCCGCAGUACCCUGACUGUGCAAAGGUAGCAUAAUCAAUUGGCUUUUAAUUGGAGUCUAGUAUGAAUGAAAGUAUGGAUGGUAACUGUCUUUAGUAUAUUUAUUGGAAAUUAUUAAGUGAGUGCAAAUACUCACAGAGAUAAAAAAGACGAGAAGACCCUAGAAACUUGAUUAAAGAUUUUGUUGGGGCGACAGAAUUACACUUAACUAAUUUUUAUAAACAAGAUGCCAUGAGGAAAGAAUAAGUUACUCUAGGGAUAACAGCAUAAUUUUAAUAGUUUGUGACCUCGAUGUUGGACUAGGUAUUGUAAUCUUAAGGCAAGAUUAUAAAACGCUCUGUUCGAGCAGUUUCACCUACAU
rnacentral:rRNA from 1 species